rnacentral:rRNA from 1 species
ACUAUGAGUGCUAAGAUUCAUGGUCGAAAGGGAAACAGCCCAGAUUAUUGACUAAGGCUCUUAAAAAUAAGUAAGUGAAAAAUUUGUGAAAAAAUGUUGACAACCGAAAGGUAGGCUUAGAAGCAGCCAUCCUUUAAAGAAAGCGUAACAGCUCAUUGGUUUAGUUUUUUUGCAUUGAAAAUGUUUGGAACUAAAAUUAUUUGCCGAAGUUAUAGAUUUAUAAAAUUAAGUAAUAAAUGGUAGCAGAACGUUCUGUAAGUUUAAGAAGUUUUAUAGUAAUAUAAAAUGGAGACACCAGAAAUGAAAAUGUUGGUAUGAGUAACGAUAAACAGUGUGUAAAGCAUUGUCGCCUUAAGUUCAAGGUUUCCAAAACAAGGCUAAUCCGUUUUGGUUAUUUUUAUUGUUAAUCGGUCUCUAAGAAUAAAAACGAAAGUUUUAAUUUAAUGAGAUAAAAAAUAAAUUUUUAAUUUUUUAGAAGUGACAAAGUGUGAAUAUUAUUUUUAUUUUAUGGUUUAAAUGAAAGUUUUAUAGCAUUUUCUAGAAACAGCUUCUUCAAAUAAUAAAAACCGUACCCUAAACCGACACAGGUGAACAAGUUUAGUAAACUAAGGCGCUUGAGAGAAUUAUGUUGAAGGAACUCGGCAAAAUGACUCCGUAACUUCGGAAUAAGGAGUGACUUUAUAUGGGCAACCGUAUAAAGUUGUCACAAAAUCGGGGACAGCGACUGUUUAAUAAAAACACAGGUCUCUGCUAAUUCGUAAGAAGAUGUAUUGAGACUGACGCCUGCCCAGUGCUGCAAGAUUAAAGGAAAAGGUCUUUUGGCUUUGACCCUAACUCCCAGUAAACGGCGGCUGUAACUCUGACGGUCCUAAGGUAGCGAAAUUCCUUGGCAUUUAAUUGGUGUCCUGCAUGAAUGGCGUAACGACUGUCCCACUGUCUCCAACAUAAACUCAGUGAAAUUGAAAUUUUCGUGAAGAUGCGAAAUUCUUGCGGCUAGACGGAAAGACCCCGUGCACCUUUACUAUAGUUAUACAUUGUAAUAAAUUUUUUUUUGUGUAGAAUAAGUGGGAAGUUGUUAUUUAAUAUCUAUUUGCACAAGCGAAUAAGGUAAACAUUUUUGAAAUACCACUCUAAAAAUUUUUUAUUACUUAUUUUAUUAAGACAGUGUAUAAUGGGUAGUUUGACUGGGGCGGUCGCCUCCUAAAGAGUAACGGAGGCGUACAAAGGUAAAUUUGAAUUGAACUAGUACAAUUCUAAAGCAUAAUAGUAUAUAUUUGCCUGACUGUAAGAUUGACAAAUCAAACAGGGACGAAAGUCGGUUAUAGUGAUCCGGUGAUUCUGAGUGGAAAAGGUCACCGCUCAACGAAUAAAAGGUACGCCGGGGAUAACAGGCUAAUCACCCCCUAGAGACCCUAUCGACGGGGUGGUUUGGCACCUCGAUGUUGGAUUAUCGCAUCCUGGAGCUGUAAGCGGUUCCAAGGGUUUGGCUGUUCGCCAAUGAAGGCGGUACAUGAUCUGAGUUUAGAACGUUGUGAAACAGUUUGGUCCCUAUCUACCGUAAGUGCAAAAAAUUGAGAGGAGUAAACCCUAGUACGAGAGGACCGGGAAAAGUAAAUCUCUGGUGAAUCGAUUGUUAUACCAAUAGCAUAGUCGAGUAGCUACAUUUAUAAUAAAUAAUCACUGAAUGCAUCUAAGUGAGAAAUUAACCUUGAUACAAAUUUUUUUUAAAAUGUAGUAGAUUACUACAUUGAUAGGCUUGGUGUGUAAGAGUUGCAAGACUUUUAGCUAACAAGUACUAAUUUAAUUUUAAAUCAACUU